UACGGAAGGCAGCAGUGGGGAAUAUUGCACAAUGGGCGAAAGCCUGAUGCAGCUAUGCCGCGUGUAUGAAGAAGGCCUUAGGGUUGUAAAGUACUUUCAUCGGGGAGGAAAAAACAAAACUAAUAAUUUUAUUUCUUGACGUUACCCGAAAAAGAAGCACCGGCUAACUCCGUGCCAGCAGCCGCGGUAAUACGGAGGGUGCUAGCGUUAAUCAGAAUUACUGGGCGUAAAGAGCACGUAGGUGGUUUUUUUAAGUCAGAUGUGAAAUCCCUGGGCUUAACCUAGGAACUGCAUUUUGAAACUGAAAUACUAGAGUAUCGUAGAGGGAGGUAGAAUUCUAGGUGUAGCGGUGAAAUGCGUAGAUAUCCGGAGGAAUACCUGUGGCGAAAGCGGCCUCCUAAACGAAUACUGACACUGAGGGUGCGAAAGCGUGGGGAGCAAACAGGGAUUAGAUACC
rnacentral:rRNA from 1 species